AAUGAACGCUGGUGGCAGGCCUAACACAUGCAAGUCGAACGGAGUUAUAUUGUAGCUUGCUAUGGUAUAACUUAGUGGCAGACGGGUGAGUAAUGUAUAGGAAUCUACCUAGUAGUACGGAAUAAUUGUUGGAAACGGCAACUAAUACCGUAUACGCCCUAUGGGGGAAAAAUUUAUUGCUAUUAGAUGAGCCUAUAUUAGAUUAGUUAGUUGGUGAGGUAAAGGCUUACCAAGACAAUGAUCUAUAGCUGAUCUGAGAGGAUGAUUAGCCACACUGGAACUGAGAUACGGUCCAGACUCCUACGGGAGGCAGCAGUGGGGAAUAUUGGACAAUGGGCGAAAGCCUGAUCCAGCCAUGCCGCAUGAGUGAAGAAGGCCUCG
rnacentral:rRNA from 1 species